GAUGAAGAACGCAGCGAAAUGCGAUAAGUAGUGUGAAUUGCAGAAUUCAGUGAAUCAUCGAAUCUUUGAACGCACAUUGCGCCCCUUGGUAUUCCAUGGGGCAUGCCUGUUCGAGCGUCAUCUGUACCUUCAAGCUUUGCUUGGUGUUGGGUGUUUGUCUCGCCUUUGCGUGUAGACUCGCCUUAAAAUAAUUGGCAGCCGGCGUAUUGAUUUCGGAGCGCAGUACAUCUCGCGCUUUGCACUCAUAACGACAGCGUCCAAAAGUACAUUUUACACUCUUGACCUCGGAUCAGGUAGGGAUACCCGCUGAACUUAAGCAUAUCAAAAGCGGAGGA
rnacentral:misc_RNA from 1 species